rnacentral:rRNA from 1 species
GAUGAACGCUGGCGGCGUGCCUAAUACAUGCAAGUCGAGCGAACGGACGAGAAGCUUGCUUCUCUGAUGUUAGCGGCGGACGGGUGAGUAACACGUGGAUAACCUACCUAUAAGACUGGGAUAACUUCGGGAAACCGGAGCUAAUACCGGAUGAUAUUUUGAACCGCAUGGUUCAAAAGUGAAAGACGGUCUUGCUGUCACUUAUAGAUGGAUCCGCGCUGCAUUAGCUAGUUGGUAAGGUAACGGCUUACCAAGGCAACGAUGCAUAGCCGACCUGAGAGGGUGAUCGGCCACACUGGAACUGAGACACGGUCCAGACUCCUACGGGAGGCAGCAGUAGGGAAUCUUCCGCAAUGGGCGAAAGCCUGACGGAGCAACGCCGCGUGAGUGAUGAAGGUCUUCGGAUCGUAAAACUCUGUUAUUAGGGAAGAACAUAUGUGUAAGUAACUGUGCACAUCUUGACGGUACCUAAUCAGAAAGCGACGGCUAACUACGUG